AGUGAACGCUGGCGGUAGGCCUAACACAUGCAAGUCGAACGGCAGCACAGUAAGAGCUUGCUCUUACGGGUGGCGAGUGGCGGACGGGUGAGGAAUACAUCGGAAUCUACUUUUUCGUGGGGGAUAACGUAGGGAAACUUACGCUAAUACCGCAUACGACCUACGGGUGAAAGCAGGGGAUCUUCGGACCUUGCGCGAUUGAAUGAGCCGAUGUCGGAUUAGCUAGUUGGCGGGGUAAAGGCCCACCAAGGCGACGAUCCGUAGCUGGUCUGAGAGGAUGAUCAGCCACACUGGAACUGAGACACGCUCCAGACUCCUACGUGAGGCAGCAGUGGGGAAUAUUGGACAAUGGGCGCAAGCCUGAUCCAGCCAUACCGCGUGGGUGAAGAAGGCCUUCGGGUUGUAAAGCCCUUUUGUUGGGAAAGAAAAGCAGCAGGUUAAUACCCCGCUGUUCUGACGGUACCCAAAGAAUAAGCACCGGCUAACUUCGUG
rnacentral:rRNA from 1 species